rnacentral:rRNA from 1 species
GAUGAACGCUGGCGGCGUGCUUAACACAUGCAAGUCGAACGAGAAAUGUAGACGGAAACCUUCGGGCGGAAGCCUUCAUUUCGAGUGGCGGACGGGUGAGUAACGCGUGGGUAACCUGCCUCAUACAGGGGGAUAACAGUUGGAAACGACUGUUAAUACCGCAUAAGACCACAGCAUCGCAUGAUGCGGGGGUAAAAACUCCGGUGGUAUGAGAUGGACCCGCGUUCGAUUAGCCAGUUGGCGGGGUAACGGCCCACCAAAGCGACGAUCGAUAGCCGAUCUGAGAGGAUGACCGGCCACAUUGGGACUGAGACACGGCCCAAACUCCUACGGGAGGCAGCAGUGGGGAAUAUUGCACAAUGGGGGAAACCCUGAUGCAGCGACGCCGCGUGAGUGAAGAAGUACUUCAGUAUGUAAAGCUCUAUCAGCAGGGAAGAAAAUGACGGUACCUGAGUAAGAAGCCCCGGCUAACUACGUG